GAUGAAGAACGUAGCGAAAUGCGAUAAGUAAUGUGAAUUGCAGAAUUCAGUGAAUCAUCCAAUCUUUGAACGCACAUUGCGCCCCUUGGUAUUCCGAGGGGCAUGCCUGUUCGAGCGUCAUUAUAACCCCUCAAGCUCAGCUUGGUGUUGGGGCCUGCUGCACUGGCAGCCCUUAAAAUCAGUGGCGGCGCCAUCUGGCUCUAAGCGUAGUAAUUCUUCUCGCUAUGGAGUCCUGGUGGAUGCUUGCCAUCAACCCCCAAUUUUUCUAUGGUUGACCUCGGAUCAGGUAGGGAUACCCGCUGAACUUAAGCAUAUCAAUAAGCGGAGGA
rnacentral:misc_RNA from 1 species